rnacentral:rRNA from 1 species
UUUAAGCAUAUCACUCAGUGGAGGAAAGGCAAGCAACCGCGAUUGCUUUGGUAAUGGCGAAUGACCCAGCAGAUUCAUGGCCCGUCCUGAAGUGAGUUCUGAACCGACCCAUGCCCACUGCCAGGCUGGGUCUGAUCGCCUAUCAAGGAAAACCAAAAGGAAAACAGCAUGCUGUGGACUGAUCACAGGACCUGCUGGCCAUGCCAGCCUGGGUUGCCUUGACACUGGGAACCUCCUUGGAACAGGAGACCACAGAGGGCUAUGGUCCCCAACAUUGGAACAUGUGUCUUGGUGGCCAGGUUGUGUGUGGUCCUGGUGGGAUCCCAGAGUAGAGUGGCUUGGGACUGCAGUUUGAAGUGUGAGGUGUAUCCCUCACAAGGAAGCAUAUGGACCUGGGACCGAUAGUGCACAAGUACAGUGAUGGAAUGAUGCAAAGGACUCUGUGAAGAGGGUUAAACCAGUCCCUGAAGCCUCAACAGGGACGGCGGAUUGUGGUGCCGUGCCAUUUUGUGUGCAUCCAAGCAGCCUUGGGUUUUGGCCCUGUGCCCGCAGCUGAGCCCCCAGCCCUUGCAGGCUGGGGAGACUGGAGUCACUUCCUGUCAGGCCAAUCGCUGUGGUGUAUUCUGGGCUGGACCUGGACCCGAGGUUUGUGUGCUGAAACAAAGCAGACCGACCCAAAAAUCCUGGGUGCUGUCCUUGGACAACCACCCAGGUCACCAUGCUUUCCAGUGGUGCUUUUGGGAUGUGGUGGCUGCAGACUCUGGUGGCUGCACCGUUGCCGACGGUGGUCGCCCUGCUGGUCAUCUGAUCCCCCACUGGAGGUGUGGUGUCAAGGGCUUUUUGAGUGGCUUGGCCUGGAUUUUUGAACACCGGUGCCACCCUCUGCCCGUCUUGAAACACGGACCAAGGAUUCCAUGGAGUUUGCAACCCAGUGGCAUGGUGCAGCAAAAAAAGCAGACAUCUCAGAACAAACCCAGAGGCUGAGUGAAGGCAAUGGUUCUCUUCCCAGAUGGGCUCCUGGUGUCAAAAAGGGACCCUGUGGGGGACACCAGGCCCGAAGUCCGUUGGACAGGGUUUUGAGUGCUUGCAAGGUCCAUGGGACCCGAAAGGUGAUGAACUAUACCAUCCUACAGUGAAGCCCUGAGAAAUUGGGGUGGAAGCUGGUCGCUGUUCUGACGUGCAAAUCGUGUAGCCUGAGUGUGGCAUAGGGGUGAAAGGCCAAUCGAAUCACCUAGUAGCUGGUCCC